CUUCACUAUCCUCCAACUCUCUACAGGGAGCACUGCUGUUCAUCAUGCACUGCCUACUGAAACAAAACGGUUAGAGAGGAGUAUUGCAAGCUCCUGUCCUGUAUCUGCACACAGAAGAAGAGAUACUCAGAGGUCAGCAUUACCAACCCUUCCUCCAGCCAAUCUCAGGGGUCAAGGAGCGCAGAGAGAACACGGGAGAGUCGCAGAUAUGACGUCACCAUACCCCCAUAAUGCACCCUCUUUACUCCCCC